rnacentral:lncRNA from 1 species
UUGGAGUACCUCACAAUCCACAAUGGAUGUCGUUCAGCCUGAUUGCAUGAAGACGCACGUUAAUGCAUGAUCCAAACCCUAGCAAGGGUUAUGUUCGUACUUUGAUCUUUCUCUAAUUUUCUGUACUUUUAUGUUUCCUUUUGGAUUAUUUUGUUUAUUUGAAACUGUUUUCACUAUUGCUACGUAAUUUUGUUGAUUAAGUUAAGCAGGUGAAGGUGGAAGUACUAAUAUUAUGUUUAUGGGACUACCUUACUCUUUCAUUCUUGGAAUAUAUACCAUAUUGUUUUAUUUUUAUUUUUUUGAUGUAUCAUGUAUGCUAUAUUGUUGUCAUAUUCAAUUAAACUCAUGAGACUUGAAAUAUCUGCGUUCUAAUGGUUUGUGCAACGUAUUAACCAAGAGUAGCAUACGAAAGAAAGUUUCUCAGACGUCCAUCUUAUAACACAAAAUGAUAUAUCUCAUCAAAAUGCAAAAUGAUACAUAUACUUUAAUAGUUUUUUUUUGAAAGGAAACGUGAAUACUUUAAUAGUUUAACAAUACAUAUAACAUACAAAAAAAAAUUAAAAACCAUUUUGCGGAACGACUAAAAUCUGUAUGUAGAUUGUUCUCAAAAAUUGACAAGAGUACAACCUGGCGUUGUCGGUGGGUACGGUACUAUAAAUUAAUGCGUAUUUUUUAAUUUUAAUUAUUGUCGAAGAUUUAGUCAUUCGAGAAAAACUGCCACAUUGAGUUGGAAAAUAUGUGGGACGUGUUGAUUUUCGAAAAUAAUAACCAUACGAGAAUUAAGUGAAAUUUCAAAAUCAAAAUAUAAUACACAUGCAGUCAUGAUUAUAGUCUACGGAUAGGUACCUUAUCACUAACCGACUAAGAAAUUUAUCUUAAACCACAAUUAGACCUAAAUUCAAAUGGUGAGAAUAUUAGUUUUUAAGUACAGUUGUUUGUUUUUUUGCAACCUUUAGAUGUAAUUCUAUGGGUGAUCGGGUGAUGGAACAAAGUUUAUUUGGUUACAGCAACUAACCAUCAUAUUGGAAGUUUGUCAACCUAAACAAAAUAGUAUUGAGGGCAUGUCUUCCAUACACUUGAUAAGUUUUUUUCUAGUAUUCUAAUUAAAUAUAUAGAAUACUAGAAUUGACAUUGUGACUUUAUGUAAUCGCAUUUUGGCGCUCUAAGUUUCAAAUCCUAGUGCUUUUGGAUAUGUCUACUUCCUAUCUUAGAGAUAACGUUUUAACGUCAUUCUCGUCUCCUUUUCACUAUGCAACAAGAGGUUUCUAGGGUUAUAUAUUUUGGCUUUUCUUUUCUAUCCAACAAAACGUUCAAUGACACGCCGUCGUCAAACGGGAUUUGUUGGCGACCGAACUGUUGCGUGGUUGUACCCAAUAGCAGAACCAGAUAUUCAACUCAUGUGGGGCACUUAAAAAACUAUAUUAGAAAUAAGUCAUAUACAUCCACGGAAAAAUCUUCUGUACCGAACGGCAUGCCAUGCCGAACGGUUUUCCACCCUUAGAUCCCUACCCUGCCCCACCCCCACACCCCCACCCCCCCCUGUUGAACGGUGCAGAUCCGGACGGUAUGCCAUACCGUCCGGUACGGAAGACAAUCCCAUACAUCCACCUUAUGUUAGUGAUUUUUAAAAGUUUAUAUUAGCUUUUUACCUCGCGCAGGAUCAAAAAGUCAUUAUGAGUGGUUAAUUUUUAUUUAUCAUCUUGGUUUUUGUCGUCAGAAUUUGGUACGAAUGAAGUUAUCACUUUUGACUAUGAUUAUAAUUACUUCUUAAACAUUAAGAUUUAGCUAAUCUUUAAGUUAAUGUAAUUAAUCUUUAAGAUUUAGUUAACUAUAAUGUAAUUAAUCUAAUUUUAUUUAUUUGUAGGAAAUAAGUGGAGCUGUGGAUUUCGGGAGAAAAUGAUGCAGCGUUAGAGCAACAUAUAGUUUCCGAGAAAUUAAAGAGAGCUGGGAUAGUGGUUAAGCUAAUUAAUCAUUGGGGGAAGAAAUCAUCUUCAUCCAUGACUAGCACGUGAGUACCAGACUUCACCCCAUUUUGUCACCUUUUCCAGUCAUCUCACGCCACGUGGCAACUUGCUCUACUCUUUCUAUAGUGUUGACCGAGAGACCAAAAAAAAAAAAAAACCUAAUCCCAUUCUUGGCUAAAGAGGCAGCCGCACAAGGACUCAUCCUCUCUUCCCUUUCUUCUUGAUGAACGCAGCCGCACCACCUCACCUCAUUUUCACCGGUCUCUCCCAAUUUUCAUACUUCCAUUUUCAUCUCAACACCAUUCACCUCAAGGCCACCAUUCUCCUCAAGACCACUUCAUCUUCAAAAGAGAUUAAGAAUGAGCUCUCACCAACAUCAUCAAAACUUCACCAACUCAAAAGAUUUUUAUUUUUGGUAAAUAGAGGAGACUUAAUAUCAAGUGGGUUCAUGAUUGCUUAUAGCAAUUUGUGAACCUAACCUCUUUUCUCUAACCCUUCUAUCAAUUUCUUAUGUAUAGAUUUGUUAAUGGGUAGUGAGUAGUUUGAUUUUGGGAGUUAGGGUUGUGAAGCCCUAACUCAUCUUGUAAUGACAUUGAUACUUUAAUUUUAAUAUAUGUAUUUUCAUUGUGUAUGCUUUGAAUCCGAAUUUAUUGGUCCUUAUAAGCAUGUUUCUAGGCUUAGUCACCAUUUGAAAUUAUGUUGUGGGCAAUUGUGAUGAGUAGAUUAAUGAGUUGACUACUUGUUAGUCUUGUGGCAUCUAAGAUUUAAACAUGGUAACCAUUAGCUAGCUUAAUUGUAGCUAAAUCUGCUUGGGUCUCUAUUAUCUUGCACUCUAGGCCUCUAAUUUAGAUAUUACGGCCUUAACCGGCGUAGUGCCUAAAUUAGAGAGUUGAUUGUGGCCUUAACCGGUAUAAUCGAUACACCGUAAGGAUAAUUGGUCUAGUAGCCCUAACUGGUAUUAGAUACGAGACUUGACACAUUAGGAAAUGCAUGCAUUUAUGAGGUUGGCGUCAAUAUUUGCAAGAGGGUUACUGUGGAUCACCCGACACUCCCAUGUCCCCAUUGAUUUGAAAAACUAAAUUUACUUUCUAGCUUGUUAAUUAGUUGUUUACUUUUCAUUGUAGUUUGUAUUAAUUUAGUUUUCCCCAAUUCAACUUUUAUUCAACUAUCGACUCAUUUGUGUAUAAUCACCCUUGGGGUUACAAGUUAGUGGUCUUGAUUAGGCUUAGUGCGAGCAAGGCCGAGCAUUGCCAAGGAGUGGUGCUGCCUUGAGUGUUUGGUUAUAAUUUUCUUUGUCUUUAUUUUAUUUUUCUUGUGUGCCUUUUAGUACUCCUAAGCCGAUUACCUUGGUUAGGUCCAACCUAAUCCUCAUGGUACGAUAACUAAGGUCUAAAUAACUCCUUUACUUGACACGAUUCGUACUCUUGCGAGUUUAUGAUUCAAGUCAGACUACCGACGCCGUUCUACAAAAUUAUCAAUUGAUUUUUCUUUUGUUUAAGUAUUUUGUUUAUUACGUACUAUAAUAACUCUUUAAUUUAGAUACUUCAAUUUACACAAUAAGAGUGAUACUGACAAUACAUAAUUUGGUAAAUCUUUUGAAUGCUUAGCUUUAUUGUAGUUGAGAUACUUUGUGGUAGUAUGAAGCUAAAUGAAUCAAUUUCUAAAUGCAUACAAUAGAAUUCUAGCUGUAGACGGUAGCAGAAUGAUGGCUACCUGGCCCAAAGACCGUCCGAGAGCCCAUCAUGAAAACAACAAGUAUGGUCAAAUUCUGGGAAUAAUAUGGGCUAAGGCGAAGCAAGACUAGAGCACCGAACGAAUGCCUAUGUAAACUGUUUAAAGGAAGGUACAUUUAUCCCAUAUUGAUCAACAAGGGAAGUGCAAGUCAACACAGGGCUAUAAAUAAAGCAGAAAAUCAACAGAACAUGUAACAUUAAUUACGUUAGUAGUUACACUUUCACCUACUAAAUAUUGACUUUACCAUCAAAGGGGGUAACACCGAAAAGUCCCGAUCAUUAUUCCUUACCGUAGGUUGCAUGUGGUAAGAAGAAGAAGCCUAUCCCAGACACGUGCCGAGCUUCUAUUGACCUUACGGGAUCACGCAGAAACAUUUGGCAUCGUCUAUAAGAAUUCUUAAUUAACGUGUCUCGAUGGCUGAGCAUCGCAAGCAAGAAGCCAGAGACGAAGCAGAUUUAGGGGACCUCCAACGAAGUCUAUUUGAAAAAACCCCCGAAAACUACAGCGGGGAGUUCAAGGAUCACGGAAAAUCAACAACGGGAGCAUGGAGACCAGCAAUGAGAACGAACUUUAGAUAGGGAGUUUUUACAUGCUCUUCCAACACAAUAACUAUCUUUUACAAAUUGCUGGUAUGCCAUCGUUGCAAAACUCUAAGGCUCGGAAGAGUUUACUUAAUCCUAUGCAUGGAAAUUAUGGUAAAAGUGGCGUAUGUCUCGGCAAUAGUUACAGAGCACUUAUAUCUACGUUCAGUGCAUAAGAUUGAAAAUCCUGAAGAUUUGGUGAGGGAACAGUCAAAAAGAGAAGUGAACAUUGGUUGCCCCAAAUUAAAAUAGAGAAGUUUGAUAAUAUUGGUGAAGGGCACACAAAAUAUAUAGAAUUGUUAAAAGCCAGAGGGCAAGGUUUAUGAAGAGUGGGAAAGUAUUUCAAGAAAGUUGGAGAUGUAGGUUAGGAUUGUUAUUUUCUGCAAUAUAAUGAGGGUGCUGAAAUUCACACACCCAAAUUUACAAACCACGCACCCCUCAUAUUUUUUAAUGUUGUACUUUCUCACUUCUACACUUCCUAAAAUACCCUCGAGUCCUUUUCUUUUCUCUCUUUCUCCGCCAAGAAACAUGAACAGAAACGUCCAGCACUUGCUCAUGUCUAAUCUGUGCUCAUCCCAUUUCAUCCCUAAAUCCUCUAACUUCGACCAGGCCUGCAAAUGAGACCCAUGCUGGAACGCUUAUUCCCGAAGCAAUCCACAACCCAACUUAGCGUCAUUCAAUUCUAUCUUUUCUCUCCUCCCUCAUCUUCCUCCCUUUUCCCAUACGAAUCCUUCGUCAUCCAUUGAAGCAAUUCUUUAUUGGAUUCUGAUCCCCUCAUGAGCGUACGAUUUCGAGAUUGAAUCAAAAAAAUGAAGAGGGAGAAGCCGAAGCAUCGAGACUUGAAGUAGAGUGAUAAUCAAGAUGAAACCAUCUCCCAGAUCAAUAUAUGUGAACCAACUGAGUUAACAAUUGGUGGCUUUAAUCAAGAUGAAACUCCUCACAUUUAGUUUCUUGGUAGGAGCUGUAAUUAGGAUUUCAAAAUUAGGAUUUGAAAGUAGAAAAUCCAAUUUGAAGCAAUCGGCCAUUAUUGGCCGCAUAUGGGGAGAGAUUGAUCAAAAGUCUUCCAAUAGACUAGAAUGGGUCUAAUCUAGAUCAUAUGAAUCUAGUAUAUACUUAAUGAUACCAUCCAAAAGAACCAGGACAAUAAGAUGAACAAGAAAAGCUGAUAUUUACCCAGAUCCAUGGUCGGCUUAACCAUAAUGAGAAUUGGCUCUGGUGGAUUUUGAAGAGAUUGAGAAAUCAAGAGGCAAAGAUGGGUCAUACAUCUAUAUUGCUAAUUAGUAUUCAAUCUUAGAAUGGAAAUUGAUUUCACAAAUGUGCAAGANNNNNNNNNNNNNNNNNNNNAAGAUAUUUAUUUAAUUGAAUGGUCUUCAUGUAUUGCUUCAUUGUUUUUUGUUUUGUAUAUUCAUAAUUUUAUGUUUUUUAAUUAAACAAAAUCAAUUAUCUUACCUAUAUACCUGCCACACCCCGGUUUCGAUAUCGGUAGGUUUUAAGCACCGGAUGCCGAUUCUGAAGUGUGGGUGUUACAAUGCAGAAUGUAAACACAAGCACUAUCUUCUAGGUUCGUCCAACCCAUUUCCUAGCUCGGUCAAAUCUAAAUACUUCUCUGCAAAAAAAGUAUUAGAGAUGAGUGAGUGAGUGAGCAAAACCAUGCGCUCAGUGAGUAAACCAAUGUAAUAUGUUUGCAAAGGUUUAUCAUUUUACACACGCUACAAAAUAUGUAUAUCAUAUACACGUCAGUUCAAGCAAUUCAUCACAUCACACAAUCCCUUUUUAUUGGAUAUCUUUCAAUUUAGUGAUUCCCACGGGAACCUAAUGACUUUCAAGUAUUAUACCACCGUAUGUCACAUCCUUACUUCGGCAUAACCAAUCAAGAAGUUUACAUGUUUCAUGACUAAUCAAAAAAUGGUUUUAGCACAUAAUUAUUUAUAAACUCUACAUAUUUUGCAAAACAAUAUGCUUCACUAGAAAACUGAGAGAUAUUUCGUAAAUAGAUCGAAAUCAUGUUUUUCGACUAAUUUGAUAGCAAAUAAGAAUAUUUAAAACACAUUACACAAAUCCACUCACCUUGAUAAUACGAAUUCCCACCAAGAACAUCGAUCGUAAACCGAGCCUUCUAAAACGAGUUAUCUAGAAAUCACCAUUGGAUCUAACCCAAACCUCAACAGAUAGAAAGAGGGAAUCAAGACGAAUCCGUAGCCUUUUGCAGAUUUAGAAUCGUAGUUACGGAUCAAAAGUUAUGAUCCGCUGAAGUUUUAGAUCGAUAAACCGAAAAUUCUAUAUAGAGAGAGAGAGAGAGAGAGAGAGAGAGAGAGAGAG